CUCUUCCCCACGCGAGCUCUCCUCUCCCCUUUCAGCGCCUCCUAGCUAGGGUUAACGACGUCGCCCCCUAUCCAUGACCUGAUUCGCGGAGGUGGCUGGUAGGUGCCCUAAGGUCGAUGGCGCCGAGGACGAGGCAGAGCGGCAGAGGUGGAUCUGUUGUGCUGGGUUGAGCGGCGGCCCGGAGCGGGUCAGCCACAGCCCACGGAGAUGGCCGUCCGCGGAGUCGUCCUCAUCCACAGAAGGGAGGGGAGGACGAGAUGAAGAGCGCCACCGGGAGCAGAUCUGGCCGUCGGCGGCAAGAAGGCCACGCCUUCUUCCACCUCUGUGCGGUCACCCAGACAAUUCCAUCAGACUUGGCCAAAAAUACCAUCAGUGAUGUAUCACCUGUACAUAUGUUUAGGGUUGAUGCACCCAUCUAAAUGAAGUAAGAUAUGGUCUGUACUAAAUGAAUGUUGGUGUGCUAGGGCUAUCUGUAUCUGCAGUGCACCAGUGUGUCCAGGAGAAGGAGCAGCAACUCCUUGGACAAUGGUCUGGCCUAACACUACCGGAAAACGGUUCUACCCCGACGGCCAAAACUAUGCCUACGGCUGCCGUCGGCCUACUUCGAGCUAUACCGACAGCCUAGUCCUGGCCGUCGGGCUACACCUAUCUACGCCGACAGCAGCCGUCGACCUAGAUGCAGACACGCUGACAGCAGCCGUCGGCAUACCUGUGGGCCCGGCGACCCCGCCCGUGACCAGCGGCUAACGCCGUCAAACCUAUGCCGACGAUCGGGACGGGCGGCCGUCGGCAUAUUUCCGCAUGCCAUGUCACCGAUCCGCGGCGUAGAUAUGUCGACAGCAACCGUCGGCAUAGGCGCCACGUCACCGAUCCGCGGCACUGCGCCCACCAAAACCCUGUCGUCUCUGCCGUCGGCAUAGUUAUUUUUUUACAUGCGUUUUUUACAUAUGUUUUUAUGUAUUAUAUGAAUAUAUAUGUAGUUUGUAAUUUUUCCAUAGAUUAUGAAUAUAUAUAUAUAUAUAGUUUGUAUUUUUUUUCGAG